ACGGCGAGUGAGAGGGGAAGAGCCCAAGAUUGAAAGCUGGCGUCUUCGGCGUCCGCAUUGUAAUCUCAAGAAGUGUUUUCCGCUUCGGACCAAGCCUAAGUCCCCUGGAAAGGGGCAUCAUAGAGGGUGAUAAUCCCGUACAUGGCUUGGAGCGCCCGAGGCUUUGUGAUACGCUUUCUAAGAGUCGAGUUGUUUGGGAAUGCAGCUCAAAAUGGGUGGUAAAUGCCAUCUAAGGCUAAAUAUUGGGGAGAGACCGAUAGCGAACAAGUACAGUGAUGGAAAGAUGAAAAGAACUUUGAAAAGAGAGUUAAACAGUACGUGAAAUUGCCAAAAGGGAAGGGUAGGAGGUCAGAGAUGCGGCCUGGGAUUCAGCCUUGCUUUUGCUUGGUGUUUUUCCCAGAUUGCAGGCCAACGUCGGUUUUGGGCACUGGAGAAGGGUAGGAGGAACGUGGCACCCCUCGGGGUGUGUUAUAGCCUCCUACUGGAUACAGCGACCGAGACCGAGGACAGCAGCGUACUCGCAAGAGCGGGCCUUCGGGCACCUUUACGCUUAGGGCGUUGGCAUAAUGGCCCUCUACCACC
rnacentral:rRNA from 1 species